GAGUAGGUGAGUCACUGUGGGUGUAGGCUUUAAGACCCUCAUCCUAGCUGCCUGGAAGCCAGUCUUCUCCUAGCAGCCUUCAGAUGAAGAUGUAGAACUCUCAGCUCCUCCUGCACCAUGCCUGCCUGGAUGCUGCCAUGCUCCUGCCUUGAUGAUAAUGGACUGAACCUCUGAACCUGUAAGCCAGCCCCAAUUAAAUGUUGUCCUUUAUAAGAGUUGCUAUGGUCAUGGUGUCUCUUCACAGCAAUAGACACCCUAACUAAGAUAGAUAUUGGUUGGUUAUUCCCACAGCCUUUAGGCCACCAAUGU
rnacentral:lncRNA from 1 species